CACCGCGGUUAUACGAGAGGCCCUAGUUGACAGGCACGGCGUAAAGGGUGGUUAAGGGGAAUUAGAGUUAAAGCCAAAGGGCCUCCUAGCCGUCAUACGCUCCUGAGCGUCCGAAGUCCAAAAACGAAAGUAGCUUUAAUAUAGUCCGCCUGACUCCACGAAAGCUAAGAAA
rnacentral:rRNA from 1 species